GUGCGGGGCCCUCCCCCAGAAGAUGGCGAGUCCGUGCGGGCGGCAGGAAUGCUCCAUUGAGAGGCGCGGCUUCCGCCACCAGCUCGACUCGUGGCGACACAAGCUCAUUCACUGUAUCCAGUUUCUGAUCCUACUUCCACAUUUGGGAGUAUGCAAGGGACAAACACAUCUCCUUGCGUAGCUUGACUGGAUAUCCCAAGACUAGGAUUGUCACCUGAAAGUGACAAUAGCUGUUUGCCUGGCAUUGUUGUAGC